rnacentral:piRNA from 1 species
AGAGAGAUUGAAAAUGCCUUUUCCU